GACGAACGCUGGCGGCGUGCUUAACACAUGCAAGUCGAGCGGAAAGGCCCUUCGGGGUACUCGAGCGGCGAACGGGUGAGUAACACGUGAGUAAUCUGCCCUUCACUCUGGGAUAGCCACCGGAAACGGUGAUUAAUACCGGAUACGACCAAUCCCUGCAUGGGGUGUUGGUGGAAACUUUUUUGGGUGGGGGAUGUGCUCGCGGCCUAUCAGCUUGUUGGUGGGGUAAUGGCCUACCAAGGCUUCGACGGGUAGCCGGCCUGAGAGGGUGACCGGCCACACUGGGACUGAGACACGGCCCAGACUCCGACGGGAGGCAGCAGUGGGGAAUAUUGGACAAUGGGCGGAAGCCUGAUUCAGCAACGCCGCGUGAGGGAUGACGGCCUUCGGGUUGUAAACCUCUUUCAGCACCGACGAAGCGCAAGUGACGGUAGGUGCAGAAGAAGGACCGGCCAACUACGUGCCAGCCGCCGCAGUAAUAC
rnacentral:rRNA from 1 species